rnacentral:rRNA from 1 species
AUUGAACGCUGGCGGCAGGCCUAACACAUGCAAGUCGAACGAGUGGCGGACGGGUGAGUAAUGUAUGGGAAUCUGCCCGAUGGAGGGGGAUAACUACUGGAAACGGUGGCUAAUACCGCAUACCAUCGGAUGUGCCCAUAUGGGAUUAGCUAGUGGGUGGGGUAACGGCUCACAUAGGAGACGAUCCCUAGCUGGUCUGAGAGGAUGACCAGCCACACUGGAACUGAGACACGGCCCAGACUCCUACGGGAGGCAGCAGUGGGGAAUAUUGCACAAUGGGCGCAAGCCUGAUGCAGCCAUGCCGCGUGUAUGAAGAAGGCCUUAGGGUUGUAAAGUACUUUCAGCGAGGAGGCGUUACCCGCAGAAGAAGCACCGGCUAACUCCGUGCCAGCAGCCGCGGUAAUAC